UUAAGUUCAGCGGGUAUCCCUACCUGAUCCGAGGUCAAACGUGAAAUGGUAGACUUACUGGAUACCGACGCUCAUGGUCCAAAGUGCAAAUUGUGCUGCGCUCUAACACCAGAUUGCCGGCUGCCAAUGUAUUUGAGGCGAGUCCGCUCAAGUCGCAGACAAACACCCAACACCAAGCAAAGCUUGAAGGUACAAAUGAC
rnacentral:misc_RNA from 1 species